UACAGAGGGGGCAAGCGUUGUUCGGAAUUACUGGGCGUAAAGGGCGCGUAGGCGGCCUGUUAAGUCGAACGUGAAAUCCCCGGGCUCAACCCGGGAACUGCGUCCGAUACUGGCAGGCUUGAAUCCGGGAGAGGGAUGCGGAAUUCCAGGUGUAGCGGUGAAAUGCGUAGAUAUCUGGAGGAACACCGGUGGCGAAGGCGGCAUCCUGGACCGGUAUUGACGCUGAGGCGCGAAAGCCAGGGGGA
rnacentral:rRNA from 1 species